rnacentral:rRNA from 1 species
CAGAUUUUUCUUCGGACAAUUUACAAGGUGCUGCAUGGUUGUCGUCAGCUCGUGCCGUGAGGUGUCAGGUUAAGUCCUAUAACGAGCGCAACCCCUAUUGUUAGUUACCAGCGCGUAGUGGCGGGGACUCUAGCAAGACUGCCGGUGCAAACCGUGAGGAAGGUGGGGAUGACGUCAAAUCAUCACGGCCCUUACGUCCUGGGCUACACACGUGCUACAAUGGCAAGUACAGAAAGCAGCUACCUGGCAACAGGAUGCGAAUCUCCAAAGCUUGUCUCAGUUCGGAUUGGAGUCUGCAACUCGACUCUAUGAAGCUGGAAUCGCUAGUAAUCGGAUAUCAGCCAUGAUCCGGUGAAUACGUUCCCGGGCCUUGUACACACCGCCCGUCAAGCCAUGGAAGCUGGGGGUACCUGAAGUCGGUGACCGCAAGG